AUUCUGGUUGAUCCUACCAGUAAUAUACGCUUGUCUCAAAGGUUAAGCCAUGCAUGUCUAAGUACAAACAUAAAUGAAUGUGAAACCGCAUAAGGCUCAGUACAACAGCCAUAAUUCACAAGAUCAUCCACCCAUCAGUUACUUGGAUAACUGUGGAAAAGCCAGAGCUAAUACAUGCAACAUGCCGGGACUGUUGGCCUCCGGGCUGGCGGAACUGGUGCACUUAUUAGUUAAACCAAUCGCCUCCGGGUGUUUUGAGUUGAAGUCUGGAUAAGGAUGCCGAUCGUAUGGUCUCACGACUGACGACAGAUCUU
rnacentral:ncRNA from 1 species